GAUCAUGGCUCAGGAUGAACGCUGACAGAAUGUUUAACACAUGCAAGUCAACUUGAACUUCGGUUUGGGUGGCGGACGGGUGAGUAACGCGUAAAGAACUUGCCUCACAGCUAGGGACAACAUUUGGAAACGAAUGCUAAUACCUGAUAUUAUGAUUAUAUGGCAUCGUAUAAUUAUGAAAGCUAUAUGCGCUGUGAGAGAGCUUUGCGUCCCAUUAGCUAGUUGG
rnacentral:rRNA from 1 species